rnacentral:rRNA from 1 species
AGAGAGAGACAUGCGCGCAUAUCAAUAAGCGGAGGAAAAGAAACUAACAAGGAUUCCCUUAGUAACGGCGAGUGAAGCGGGAAGAGCUCAAAUUUGAAAUCUUCAAGGUUUUACCUUGACGAAUUGUAGUUUAAAGAAGUGUUUUCUGCUGAAGUUUUGGUAAAAGUUCUUUGGAAUAGGACAUCAUAGAGGGUGAGAAUCCCGUAUUUGACCAUUAUUUUCAGCUUUGUGAUACACUUUCAAAGAGUCGGAUUGUUUGGGAAUGCAGUCCAAAAUGGGUGGUAAAUUUCAUCUAAAGCUAAAUAUUGGCGAGAGACCGAUAGCGAACAAGUACCGUGAGGGAAAGAUGAAAAGAACUUUGAAAAGAGAGUUAAACAGUACGUGAAAUUGUCAAAAGGGAAGCGUUUGACACCAGUGUUGUUUUCUCGAAAAUCAAUUAAAAAUGGCUCGAUUUUGUAUUGUUGAGACCUUAAAAGCUCACUGUACAUUUUUCGUGUCUUUUUUAAUGCACUUUUCGUUUAACAAGUCAACAUCAGUUUCUUUUGUUGUAAAAGGGUCAUUCGGAAGGUGGCUUUCUUUUCGGAGAAAGUGUUUAUAGCCUUUGGCCUCUGCAAUCGGAGAGACUGAGGUCUGCAGCGUAGACUCUUCGGGGUUAGAUACAUUUGUGCUAAGUUAUAGCUUUUUAUAGACAACUUGUUGACUAUAAUUAGUCUUGUAGCUUACUCGCUUAUGCUAUUUUACCUACGCUUAGGAUGUUGAAGAUGUAGCACAUCAU